GUAUCUCCCCAAAGCCCUCCCUCCAAAGCUGUUCACUGGUGUGGGCCAUCCCUCUUCUGAGGCUGUUUUAAGGGGACAAGGAUUUAGCCUAAACAUUUCAGAGAGAGAAUUGUAAGGGCAAAGCUUGUGAGGGUGGGUGGGCUGGGUGGGACUUCUAAGACAGGGCCCAGAAUUGCUAAACUAUGCAAACAUUUUGCUAUGGAGAAUCUGGGAGGGAUGUGACAAAAGAAAGUUUUGCUUUGUUCCCACUGCCUUAAGAUUCUUUGAGAUUAUUGCUAUUCAAAAGAACACAGCAAACCACUCGGGGAAAGGAACCAUAAAAGGCAACUUUCCUUCAAGGCGCCAUAAGUACUACACAACUGCCCUCACGCAGCUUUGGAUCACCCAUGUCCCGACAUGUGCCGAGUCUGGAUAUUGUUCUCCAGGGUCUUUUAGAGCCUGAAAUGCUUCAAACCAUUGAACAAACACCGUUCAGGGGGAAAACGUACAGGCGCACUUUUUGAGAAAGAAAAUAAAAGAAGUGCCAAAAUUAAAUUCACAGAACGUGUCACUAUAUAGGGCCCCUUUCAAGAUUUAAGACGGAGAGCACUGGAGAUCCUGGAAGAAUGCAACUGCUGGGGAGGACUCUUACUUUAAAGACAAGGAUUUGGAGGUCCAGAGGGACUGAGUGACUUGCCCAGAGCCCUCAGCUUGCUCCAGACGGGGCCAGCGAGAGUUGUGACUCUUCGUCCCUUCUUUUGCUCUACCACAUCACAAGGGCUGUUGAGUUAGAAGGAAUUUUGAACUUGAAACAUAACACAUCAGAGGUAAUGUCAUAGAAAGACAUCAUCAGGUCAACGUGAUUGGCAGCUGAACAAGCCUCAGCUGUGAAGUUUGAAGAAAUAAGUCCAAAAAGAGAUCAUCUAAAAGAUACCUGUUUCAAGAGAAUGCAUCCAUCGUCUAAGGACAGGGUGGUUAUAACUUCUUUCUAAAAGGAUAUCUGUUGAAGAGACUACACAAUUAAAGAGCUUGAACUCUGGAGUCAGACCAGACCUGGAGUCAGCUCUGACCCUCUCUCAUCCUACCUUUGGACAAUCUCCCAAACCCUCAAGCCUCAGUGUCUACAUCUAUAAAAUGAGCAGAGUCUUAGUAUCUACCUCACAGGGCUGUUGUGAAGGUUAAAUAAAAUGAAAUACAUAUAAA
rnacentral:lncRNA from 1 species